GCGCGGGGCUGGGGAGAGCGCGGAGUCGGGAAGCUGAGAGCAGAGCCUGAGUGCGCCGCUGGUUCAACCGGGCAGGGUCGCGCCUCGCGCCAGGAUGCUGCGUCCCGCUGCCCUGUCCAGCCAGCAACCCCGAGACUGGCGCGACCCCGGGAAGAAGCAAAGGUUCUUUCGUCCAGUCGCCGCUGGAGGACCGAAAGUUUUGCUCGCUGCAAGUCCCUUCCUCCCAGAGUCCCAGUCACCCACCGUGCGAUGUCCCAGAAGGAUCCCGGAGGCUCAGUGGGGACGAAAUCGGCUGUUUUGCACCCCUCCAUCCCUAUCCCUCAGGAUGCCUUCAGGAGCCAGAAGCAAAGGGGAAAUGGACAUAACUCCGAGAAACCGGUUUUUGUUUCACAUUUAGAUACGGUUCUUCUGGUGAAGAUAUAAGGCAAAAAAAAAAAAGAAUUUCUUCUGGGGUCCUUGGGAGACUGAGGCAGCAGGAUUAGUGAGUGCCCAGCUUCAGCAACAGCUUUGCCACCGCGAGCUUCUUUGAUCACACCCCACCACAACAACUAGGAGACCUAAACCUUGCUCACUGACAGCACUGGAAGAUCUAAACGCUGCUAUGGAUUGGAAGGUGCCCGAGGAAUGAAAGGGAACGUAGCCGAUGUGACCCACCUCAUGAGAUUUUACGGGAGAAAGACCAUAGUGAUUUCAUCUAUUAAGAAGCCCUUACUGACCUGCAUGGUGAGGCUUGUGUGGAAUUUCAGCAUGCAGGAGAUUGAGACAGAAGGAUCACAAGUUCAAGGCCACCCUAGGCUAUGUAUCAAGAGCUUGUUUUGAACAAAGGAAAAAGAAAAAAGAAACGGCAGUACAUAAUUUUUCCUAAGGCUGGAGAUGAGGCUGUCAGCCGAGAGCUCCUGCCUGCAGAAGACCGUGGGCUGGAAUCCCGGCACUGCAUGGACCAGAUUUGGGGGCACAUGAAGGUCAAGGUCAUCCUCAACCACACAUGAGACCCUGUCUCAAAGAGGAAAUGUUGACAUUAGGGCUGUGCUGAUCCAGGACUCUUAUUCUCAGGCUCUGCCCAAUAUGAAAGAGAGUCUCCUGGCUGCCUUCAAAUCAAGAUGUAGAACCCUCAACUCUUCCAGGACCAUGUGUGCCUACACUGCCAUGCUUCCUGCCAUGAUGAUAAUGGACUGAACUCCUAAAACUGUCCGUGGUAAUUUGUUACAGUAGCCCCAGGGCUCUCCUUGCAGAUGAAGUAGAAGCCUGGGUCUAAAGAUACUUUGGCCUUGCCAACUGGACAAAGCUUUCUUAGAGGAAGGCAUUGUCCAUGCAAAGGACCUGUGGUGGAGUCCAUGAGCCAGAACACACUCCUCUGAGGAAGGAUGGAGAGCCUCUGUCACAGGAGGCUGCUUCUGGCUGUCUUAGUCCUGCCUUGGAGCUAACCUGGAAGUAAGCGUGUGAGGCUCUUGAUCAAGUAUGUUCAAGGAGGCUUUGUUUGGAUUUAGCUACAGUCGUGGUUUGGGCUUUAAACUCUGCUGGCAACGUGGAACAAAACGCGCUGUUGAGAUUGAACAGGGACGAAGCUGUCUUCCUAAGUCAGCAAAGGGACCCACAUUGAGUGUGUUGUUUGUGCAAAGGCCCCAGAGCUCAACAUCAGCAGAAAAUGUGACAUGGCAAAGCUGUCAGCCAAGGUGACGCACACCUGCAAUGCUUUAAAGAACAGGGCACACCUCGAGGGGCAUGGGGAGUGUGCUGCUUCCAGAGCUGUGACUGGCUAGCACAGCUUAUGGCGUCAUAGAAACAGAUAGUUGAUUCACUUAUUCAUUCAAUUAAUAAAUGUUUAAUGAGCACCUAUCAAGUUCCCAGCACCAACUAGACUUUGGGGAAACAGCAGUGAGUGGGCCAUAGAUGGCGAUGACGUCACAGAACUUACUGGAGAGGGACACAGCUCAUUUGCUGUGUGAUUAUUAUUUUCCACUAUUAUUAAAGUUUUUAGAUUAUU
ensembl:processed_transcript F730043M19Rik RIKEN cDNA F730043M19 gene